UCAGAAGCCGAACAUAUAACCCGUGAUUAGUUUGUCUGCCCUGGUCUGUUCCCAUUGGUUGUUACCUAUGCACCCUAAUUGGUUAUUGUUUGUCUGUCUGUGCACAUUGGUCCUAUUGUUGGCCAAUGGGAUGCGUCCUAAGCCUGGUAAUCUUUUGCAUAAGGGGACGGGCUAAGCCUAUAAGCAGGGCUGCAGAGCCAUUCAGUGGCGUGGUUCCUGACAUGCAGCGAAGCGGUCAUAGCAGUGAUCUCUUAGAGAAUGAGGAGAUCGUGUACAAAAGAAUAAAAAAAUUUAAACUGAAAUCAGUUGUCUUUUCUAUUUCUUGCCUCCGGCAAAACACUACAAUAAGUUUGGAAUUAACCACCUUUAAAACAGCCAUGUAUCACUUAAUGAAAUAUGGAGACUAAGGAAAGAUAUGUACAUUAAAAGGGCAAUACACACUGGUGCCCUGAUCCUCCAAUAAACGCCUAUCUGAACACGAAGUACGUUGGAAAAAAAAUACCUCCGAGGUGAAGCGCUCCCGGUUAAAUAGACCACGGUCACUCAGCUCGACAAGUAGGAGGAUUUCGCAGCACGGGGAACCUCAGCAAGCGUCGGCUGCACAGAUAGUCAACUGUAGAGCGAGAGUUUUCGUAGACGUAAAGCUUUUGAAUAGUUUUGAUUUGUAAAAUACUUGUGCCUGCUAAUUGACGUAAUCGUCAUGGGCUUAGUUACAUAGGCUCUACUGUACGCAUUUUAAUUACUGUUGCGAUCUGGUGAUUCUUGUGCAUUUUGUAAAUCCUCUUGCUUUUGGGUUGCGGAUAGAAAUUAAGUUAUUGCCCGUUGUAAUUGUUGUUGUAUUUCUUAAUAAGUAGGUGCAUCUAUUUUAAACCAAUAGGCAUUUUAAUGUGUGUCCUCUUUGAUUAGUGGGAUCUUGGUAAAAGAACAAGACCACCUGUAUGCCCUUACUUUUUUUUUUUUUUUUUUUAAAUCCUUAUACUCCAGAGAGAAACAAGAUACUGAAGAGUUUGUGCAAUG